rnacentral:rRNA from 1 species
CCUAUGGGGGGCAGCAGGCGCGAAAACUUUACAAUGUGGGAAACCGUGAUAAGGGAACUCUGAGUGCCCGUAAAAUUGGGCUGUCCAUCAGUUUAAAUAACUGGUGAAGAAAGGGCCGGGUAAGACCGGUGUUAGCCGCCGUGGUAAUAUUGGCGGCUCGAGUGGUGGCCACUAUUAUUGGGCUUAAAGUGUUCGUAGCUGGUUUGUUAAGUCUCUGGGGAAAUCUUCCGGUUUAACCGGAAGGUGUCUCAGGGAUAUUGGCAGACUAGGGACCGGAAGAGGUGAGAGGUACUCCAGGGGUAGGAGUGAAAUCCUGUAAUCCUUGGGGGAUUACCUGUGGUGAAGGUGUUUCACCAGAACGGUUCCGAUAGUGAGGGACGAAAGCUGGGGGAGCAAACCGGAUUAGAUACCCCUGUAGUCC